AGCGGCGGCGGCGCGUCCGCGGGCGGCGGGAGCUUCGCAUGCGCGGAGCGAGGCCCGAUGUCGUCGGAGGAGAACAAGUGCGUGGAGCAGCCGCAGCCACCACCCCCCGAGGAGCCUGGAGCCCCGGCCCCGAGCCCCCCAGCCGCAGACAAAAGACCUCGGGGCCGGCCUCGCAAGGCGCUUCCCCUUUCCAGAGAGCCAGAAAGAACAGCAAGAUUAAGAAAAUUGUGCAUUCAAUUAUAUCAUCCUUUGCAUUUGGACUAUUUGGAGUUUUCCUGGUCUUACUGGAUGUCACUCUCGUCCUUGCCGACCUAAUUUUCACUGACAGCAAACUUUAUAUUCCUUCGGAGUAUCGUUCUAUUUCUCUAGCUAUUGCCUUAUUUUUUCUCAUGGAUGUUCUUCUUCGAGUAUUUGUAGAAGGUUUUUGAUCUAGGCCCUGAUUCCCAGACAGCACCUUUGGAUCCACCUGGAGGCUAGGAGAACUUGCCAUCCUGAAGGGAAGGACACAGGCCUGGCUGUUUUUACCAUCUGAUGACUGUAGAGCCCCAGGGCCUUCAGCAAACUCCUGCAAUAGCUAACAAGUGGUUACAGCAGGUCUUGGGCAAGACCCCGUGCUGUGCUGGCCUCAGGUCUGACCCAAUGCAGUCACAGUAGUGGUGGCCACACAGGUGCUUAUGUCACUCAACCCCAAGCUUUAGGUGCCUCAGAACAGAGAGAGAGACUCUGUUUGUUUGGGAGAAAGCAAGGGAAGAAAACAAGAGUCUCUUUUUGGUAAUGCAGAGAAUUAUCCUGGAUCUUGUCCAAGACCAUUAAGGCCACUAUGAGUCUGCAAGAACCAGAGUUUAGGAGGCUUGGGGUGCCCCCUAAAGCAGAUAGAGAUUAGAUCACAGUAUCCAAGUUCUUUCAAAUAUCUGGAAAGCCUUCCCAAGAACGAUGGGCACAAACAAGCCCUGACAGGGAAAACUACAAUAAAUACAGUGAAAACUACAACCAAUACCUAACUCUUCAAUGCCCAGACACCAAAGAACAUAUGCUAGCAUCAACACUAUCCAAGAAAACAUGACCUCACCAAAUGAACUAAAUAAGACACCAGGGGCCAAUCCUGUAGAAACAGAGAUAUGUGACCUUUCAGACAAAUCAAAAUAGCUGUGUUGAGGAAACUCAAAGAAAUUCAAGAUACAACAGAGAAGGAAUUCAUAAUUCUAUUAGAUAAGUUUAACAAAGAGAUUGAAAUAAUUUAAAAGAAUCAAGCAGAAAUUCUGGAGCCAAAAAAUGUAAUUGGCAUGCCAAAGAAUGCAUUAGAGUCUUUUAAUGCAGAAUUGAUAAACCAGAAGAAAGAAAGAAUGAGCUUGAAGACAGGCUAUUUCAAAAUACAUAGAGGAGACAAAGGAAAGAAUAAAAAACAAUGACACAUGCCUACAGAAUCUAGAAAAUAGCCUCAAAAGGACAAAUCUAAGUGGUAUUGGCCUUAAAGAGGAGGUGGGGAGUGUAGAAAGUGUAUUCAAAGGGAUAGUAACAGAACGUCCCAAACCUACAGAAAGAUAUCAAUAUCCAAGUACAAGAAAGUUAUAAAACACCGAGCAGAUGUAACUCAAAGAAGACUACCUCAAGGAAUUUAAUAAUCACAGUCCCAAAGAUCAAGGAUAAAGAAAGGAUCUUAAAAGCAGCAAGAGAAAAGAAACCAAUAAUAUACAAUGGAGCUACAAUAUAUCUGGCAGGAGACUCUUUAGUAGAAACGUUUCAGGCCAGGAGAGAGUGGCAUGACAUAUUGAAAGUGCUGAAGGAAAAAAACAUUUACCCUAGAACAGUGUAUCCAGUGAAAAUAUCCUUCAAAGUGAAGGGGAAAUAAAGACUUUUCCACACAAAAGCUGAGGGAUUUUGUCAACACCAGACCUGUCCUAGAAGAAAUGCUAAAGGGAAUAUUUCAAUCAGGAAAGAUAAGGACAUUAAUGAGCAAUAAGUAACAACCUGAAGGUAUAAAACUCACUGGUAAUAGGUAUACAGAAAAAUGCAGAAUGUUAUAACACUGUAACUAUGAUGUAUAAAC
rnacentral:lncRNA from 1 species